AUAGUUCACCCAAAAAUACAUUAAAAUUCUAUUAGUACCUACUCACCCUUGUGUCAGUAAAUAAACAUCCUACAAGCAGUACAAGAAGCUAUGUAAAGAUAUGUUUGUUUCCACAGAAACAAAACAGCUGCAUAAUGUCUAGAAAAUAACAUUCUGCAAAGAGAUGAACAUGUUUCUAAUGUAAUAGAACACUAGUUUUGAUAGCGCUCUAUUACAUUAGAAACGUAUAUUUACAUAUACAAAUGUGUAUAGUUCUAGACUAAAUGUGAACAUGCAUUUACACACAAACUGAACUUUUCAUAUUAGAAACAAACAAGCAAGCCCAGCUCAGAUUUAAAACGCAAUGCAAAAGCAAUGCAGAAGUAAAGUAACACAUUGCUUUCCACAAAAAGUGGCUAGUUAUUUUUUUAGAGAGUAACGCAAUAUUGUAAUGCAUUACCUCUUAAAAGUAACUUUCCCCAACACUGCUUGCCAUUUCUUUGUAAUUAUUUGUGAAAUUAGCAAUUUCUGAGUAAAAGUUGUUCCUCUAUCAAUUUGUUUUUCAAUUAGGUAAAGUAAGUUUUGGGUUGAGCUGCAGUAAAAUUAGUUUGACCUGUUAAAAGUGCCUCGAUCUAAAGUGAAAAAUAAAUGGAAGGGAAAACAUAUUUUGUGGAUUACCAAUUGCAGUAGCCUAUUUUUAGUUGAUCCAAAUGCAGGUUUGUCAUUAUUACAUACUUUGUGUCUUAUCAUAUUUUUGUUGCCACCAUAUCAUAAAAAAGCAAUAAGCCAACUUUGCAAAAACAUGCAAAAUAUGAUUUGUGAACCCCAUGUGAGAGUGUAACCAAAAUGAAAGAUGACUAUCAGGAUACAGGCACAACAUUCCUCCACGAACGCUGGUCCCAUGACUGAGAGUAAAGCAACAAUGUGGGGCUUGUUGCCCCAGCACUUCUGCCCCAAGUAACGCCCCGACUGACCUUCCAAAUCUGACCCCACCACCCAGAGCAGACCACCCCAUCAGAGGAGUCCCAUGUAAGACGUCUUUGAGGAGUGCACACAGGGA
rnacentral:lncRNA from 1 species